rnacentral:rRNA from 1 species
ACUCCGUACGGGAGGCAGCAGUAGGGAAUCUUCCACAAUGGGCGCAAGCCUGAUGGAGCAACACCGCGUGAGUGAAGAAGGGUUUCGGCUCGUAAAGCUCUGUUGUUAAAGAAGAACACGUAUGAGAGUAACUGUUCAUACGUUGACGGUAUUUAACCAGAAAGUCACGGCUAACUACGUGCCAGCAGCCGCGGUAAUACGUAGGUGGCAAGCGUUAUCCGGAUUUAUUGGGCGUAAAGAGAGUGCAGGCGGUUUUCUAAGUCUGAUGUGAAAGCCUUCGGGCUUAACCGGAGAAGUGCAUCGGAAACUGGAUAACUUGAGUGCAGAAGAGGGUAGUGGAACUCCAUGUGUAGCGGUGGAAUGCGUAGAUAUAUGGAAGAACACCAGUGGCGAAGGCGGCUACCUGGUCUGCAACUGACGCUGAGACUCGAAAGCAUGGGUAGCGAACAGGAUUAGAUACCCUGGUAGGAUAGCG